rnacentral:ncRNA from 1 species
GAGAAACCGAUGAUUAAGAGGAGUAGCCUUUCAAAUCAGCUUUCAGAGAGUUGCGGAUGGUGGAAUCGCAACAGCGAGAGGAUGGGUGAAUGGACUUAUGAGGGCGGUCGAAAGCGAAAGCGAGUAGUAACCGACGGGAAACGCACCCGUUACCAGAGCGUAACUGUAUGGCUGUACAGUGGAAAGAGCGGAUGAUUUUUUCAUCAAUUUGGGUGGUACCGCAGGAAUAUACAAGUCUUGUCCCAUAG